rnacentral:lncRNA from 1 species
CCCGAGUGUGUAAAUUUGCAACGUAUCGAUGUCAACGUUCACAAAAACCAAAACCGGACAAACAUUAGACUACUCAGUUGCGCCCUAACAGUAUAACUUUACAACGAGUACUUUUUCUCCUUCAACCGAACAAAGAGUAAAACCUAAUUAUAUUGUUCCAUUAUGCCCCGAGAGUGUAAAUUUGCAACGUAUCGAUGUCAACGUUCACAAAAACCAAAACCGGACAAAUAUUAGACUACUCAGUUGUGCCCUAACAGUAUAACUUUACAUCGAGUACUUUUUCUCCUUCAACCGAACAAAGAGUAAAACCUAAUUAUAUUGUUCCAUUAUGCCCCGAGAUUGUAAAUUUGCAACGUAUCGACGUCAAUAUUCACAAGAACCAAAAUCGGAAAAAUAUUAGACUACUCAGUUGCUCCCUAACAGUGUAACUUUGCAAGAGUACUUUUUCUCAUUCAAUCAAAUAAAGAGUAAAACCAAAUUAUAUUAUUCUAUUAUGCCCCGAGUGUAUAAAUUUGCAACGUAUCGAUGUCAACGUUCACAAGAACCAAAACCGGAACAACAUUAGACUACUCAGUUACGCCCUAGCAGUAUAACUUUGCAAACAGUGCUUUUUCUCAUUCAAUCGAACAAAGAGAAAAACCCAAUUAUAUUGUUCUAUUAUUCCCCGAGAGUGUAAAUUUGCAACGUAUCAAUGUCAACGUUUACAAGAACCAAAUUCGAGAAAACAUUAGACAACUCAGUUGCUUCCUAACAGUAUAACUUUACAUUGAGUACCAUUUCUAAUUACAUCGUUCUAUUAUGCCGCGAGAGUGUAAAUUUGCAACGUAUCAAUUUCAACGUUCACAAAAACCAAAACCGGACCAACAUUAGACUACUAAGUUGCGCCCUAACAAUAUAACUUUGCAACGAGUACUUUUUCUCCUUCAACUGAACAAAGUGUAAAAUCUAAUUAUAUUGUUCUAUUAUGCCCCGAGAGGGUAAAUUUGCAACGUAUCGAUGUUAUCGUUCAGAAAAAUCAAAAUUGGACCAACAUUAGACUACUAAGUUGCGUCCUAACAGUAUAACUUUGCAACGAGUACUUUUUCUCCUUCUACCGAAGAAAGAGUAAAACCUAAUUAUGUUGUUCCACUAUGCCCCGAGAGUGUAAAUUUGCCACGUAUCGAUGUCAAUGUUCACAAGAACCAAAACCGGAAAAACAUUAGACUACUCAAUUGCUCCAUAACUGUAUAACUUUGCAAUGAGUACUUUUUCUCAUUCAAUCAAACAAAGAUUAAAAUCUAAUUAUAUUAUUCUAUUAUGCCCCGAGUGUGUAAAUUUGCAACGUAUCGAUGUCAACGUUCAUAAAAACCAAAACCGGACAAACAUUAGACUACUCAGUUGCUCCCUAACAGUAUAACUUUGCAAUGAGUACUUUUUCUCAUUCAAUCAAACAAAGAGUAAAACCUAAUUAUAUUAUUCUAUUAUUCCCCGAGUGUGUAAAUUUGCAACGUAUCGAUGUCAACGUUCACAAAAACCAAAACCGGACAAACAUUAGACUACUCAGUUGCGCCCUAACAGUAUAACUUUACAACGAGUACUUUUUCUCCUUCAACCGAACAAAGAGUAAAACCUAAUUAUAUUGUUCCAUUAUGCCCCGAGAGUGUAAAUUUGCAACGUAUCGAUGUCAAUGUUCACAAGAACCAAAAUCGGAAAAAUAUUAGACUACUCAGUUGCUCUAUAACAGUAUAACUUUGCAAUGAGUACUUUUUCUCAUUCAAUCAAACAAAGAGUAAAAC